AAAAAAAAAAAAAAAAAAUUGGCGGUUGAGUUGCAUAAAUUGGCAACGCUGCUUUAGUUUUCACGAAAGUACGUCUGCAAUUUGUUGCCCAAAGGCUAAAGCCAAAACGAAACUUCAGGAUUCUCGCUAGUCAUUCAACUAACUGUCAUUGAACGGGACGAAAUGGCCGAAACAAAUUGUUGCUAAUUAAGUAAUUAUAGUUCUAAUCCUGUGAUUUAAAAUACCAAAUUGAACUUCGUAUCUUAUAUGCAUUGUUACUGUUAGUCAUCCCAACAAGUUGACUAGGCGCUCAGUCAUUUUCCAUAGUCCAUUAGAUCCUCAUUCUGUCAAAAGCCUAAAACUCAUGUUUGAAGCUCACACAAAUGUGUGGAAUACAAAUGUGCGGAGAUAAGAUAUUUUCCCAUUACUGCUACCACACCAACCACACCACGUCAGAUGCCUUACUUAAUCAUCACCCAUAUGAUAAAGCGUCAGGAAAUAUAUCUCAACUUGAGGAGUAAUGCUGUUGGUUGCUGUAAUUCCAUUAUUACAGUUUUUCAUCAUGACAUUUCAGUGUGCUUCUUAGAAAAGACGACGCAAGAUCCCCACGGACAUCCUUGAGCCAAUGCUGGAUUUUGUCCAUGACAGAAGAGGGACUUCCACCAACGUUCUGCUCCAUCCUUAUCUUCAAGACGUACGCUCAUCCAGCUUCACUGCUUCAGUGCUUCAUAUGCUGCUAGCCUGCUACACAACUUUUCUUGCUUCACUGGCGAGUUGGAUCACUUCAGUUGCUGUGACACACCUGCAGUCACUCACCACGGGAUUAUGGCCAGAUACCGGACAAUUGACUUAUUUUCGCAGAUUAUCUUCUAGUAAUCUCUUUGCGUUAAACUAUCUGUCUGUGUAAUAAUUCGAAAAUCAGGCCCUUCUUGCGCACUUAAGUGUUACUCAGACGGGUUUCUUUUUUCUAACGCUAGAUGGCUUUUCGAUAAUUUUAGCUGUCAAAACAGUCAGUUUCAG